rnacentral:rRNA from 1 species
CGCUGGCGGCGCGCCUAAUACAUGCAAGUCGAGCGAGAAGACGUAGCAAUACGUUUGUAAAGCGGCGAACGGGUGAGGAAUACAUGGGUAACCUACCCUCGAGUGGGGAAGUAACUAGCCGAAAGGUUAGCUAAUACCGCGUACGCUCCUUGGACUUCGGUUCAGGGAGGAAAGCGAUACCGUGGGUAUCGCGCUCUUGGAUGGGCUCAUGUCCUAUCAGCUUGUUGGUGAGGUAACGGCNCACCAAGGCUUCGACGGGUAGCUGGUCUGAGAGGACGAUCAGCCACACUGGCACUGCGACACGGGCCAGACUCUACGGGAGGCAGCAGUAAGGAAUAUUGCGCAAUGGGCGAAAGCCUGACGCAGCGACGCCGCGU